UGGGGAAUUUUGCACAAUGGGGGAAACCCUGAUGCAGCGACGCCGCGUGAUUUAGAAGGCCUUCGGGUUGUAAAAAUCUUUUUUAUGGGAUGAAAAUGACAGUACCAUAAGAAUAAGGUCCGGCUAAAUACGUGCCAGCAGCCGCGGUAAUACGUAUGGACCGAGCGUUGUCCGGAAUCAUUGGGCGUAAAGGGUACGUAGGCGGCCCAGUAAGUUAGAAGUGAAAUAAUAUAGCUCAACUAUAUAAAGCUUUUAAAACUGCUAGGCUUGAGAGAUGGAAGGGAGAGUGGAAUUCCUAGUGUAGCGGUGAAAUGCGCAGAUAUUAGGAAGAAUACCGGUAGCGAAAGCGACUUUCUGGUCAUCAUCUGACGCUGCGGUACGAAAGCGUGGGUAGCAAACAGG
rnacentral:rRNA from 1 species